rnacentral:rRNA from 1 species
AUUGAACGCUGGCGGCAGGCCUAACACAUGCAAGUCGAGCGAGCGGCGGACGGGUGAGUAAUGUCUGGGAAACUGCCUGAUGGAGGGGGAUAACUACUGGAAACGGUAGCUAAUACCGCAUACCAUCAGAUGUGCCCAGAUGGGAUUAGCUAGGAGGUGGGGUAACGGCUCACCUAGGCGACGAUCCCUAGCUGGUCUGAUAGGAUGACCAGCCACACUGGAACUGAGACACGGUCAACACUCCUACGGAAGGCGUCAGGGGGGAAUAGUGCACAAUGGGCGCAAGCCUGAUGCAGACAUGCCGGGUGUGUGAAGAAGGCCUUCGGGUAGUAAAGCACUUGCAGCGGGGAGGCGUUACCCGCGGAAGAAGCACCGGCUAACGCCGUGCCAGCAGCCGCGGUAAUAC